CUGGGUGUAGCCAAGCGGCAAGGCACCGGAUUUUGAUUCCGGCAUCCCACGGUUCGAAUCCUUGCGCCCCAG
rnacentral:tRNA from 1 species